rnacentral:misc_RNA from 1 species
GAUGAAGAACGUAGCGAAAUGCGAUACGUAAUGUGAAUUGCAGAAUUCAGUGAAUCAUCGAAUCUUUGAACGCAUAUUGCGCUCUUUGGUAUUCCGAAGAGCAUGCUUGUUUGAGUAUCAGUAAACACCUCAAAGACUUCAAUUUGUUUUGAAUGGCUUUGGACUUGAGCAAUCCCAACACCAGUCUUUACGAUCGGUGGAGGGUUGCUUGAAAUGCAGGUGCAGCUGGACAUUCUCCUGAGCUAUAAGCAUAUCUAUUUAGUCUGCCUAAAAAACAGAUUAUUACCUUUGCUGCAGCUAACAUAAAGGAGACUAGUUCUUGUGCUGACUGAUGCAGGAUUCACAGAGACAGCUUCGGCUGACUUUGUAAACUCGAUCUCAAAUCAAGUAAGACUACCCGCUGAACUUAAGCAUAUCAAUAAGCGGAGGA